CGUUUGUGCGAGUCGUCGAAAUAUCGAAUGUGAUUAGGCCGAGGGGAGAGAAGUCAUAGACAUUAAUUCAACACUGCAAUAAUACCACGUACACCUAUCAGUAUAACUGCUAUUCAAUUUCUGUCCAACCUCAGGUUUUGUCUGUGGAAACGGUAAGAAGUAUAUUUGAUUUGUUAGCUAAUAAUCAAGGCAUGCCCAGACAUUCAAUGAAGACUGUUAUUGUAGUUAAAUAAUAACAAAGCCCCCCGGGAUUGUUAUGUUAUCCAUGUAGCCCUAGUUCAACUGGAGUUCUGUCCAACGAAGCUGCAGCUUGAAGUCGGCAGUCAUUUACUGAUU